rnacentral:rRNA from 1 species
CAAUAGCGUAUAUUAAAGUUGUUGCGGUAAAAAAGCUCGUAGUUGGAUUUCUGUUGAGAGCGACCGGUCCAUACCAUGUAUGCGUAUCUGGCUUGCUCUCGGCAUCCUCUCGAUAGACGUUACUGCGCUUGAUUGCGUGGUGCGGAUCUCGGGACUUUUACUUUGAGGAAAUUAGAGUGUUCACGGCAGGCUUUCGCCAGAAUACAUUAGCAUGGAAUAAUACUAUAGGAUCUUGGUUCUAUUUUGUUGGUUUCUAGAAUUGAGAUAAUGAUUAAUAGGGACAAUUGGGGGCCUUCGUAUCAACACGUCAGAGGUGGAAUUCUUGGAUUGUGUUGCGACGAACUACUGCGAAAGCAUUUGCCAAGGAUGUUUUCAUUGA